rnacentral:rRNA from 1 species
ACACUCCUACGGGAGGCAGCAGUGGGGAAUUUUGGACAAUGGGCGAAAGCCUGAUCCAGCAAUGCCGCGUGAGUGAAGAAGGCCUUCGGGUUGUAAAGCUCUUUUGUCAGGGAAGAAACGGUGAAAGCUAAUAUCUUUUGCUAAUGACGGUACCUGAAGAAUAAGCACCGGCUAACUACGUGCCAGCAGCCGCGGUAAUACGUAGGGUGCAAGCGUUAAUCGGAAUUACUGGGCGUAAAGCGUGCGCAGGCGGUUUUGUAAGUCUGAUGUGAAAUCCCCGGGCUCAACCUGGGAAGUGCAUUGGAGACUGCAAGGCUAGAAUCUGGCAGAGGGGGGUAGAAUUCCACGUGUAGCAGUGAAAUGCGUAGAUAUGUGGAGGAACACCGAUGGCGAAGGCAGCCCCCUGGGUCAAGAUUGACGCUCAUGCACGAAAGCGUGGGGAGCAAACAGGAUUAGAUACCCUUGUAGUCCC